GCAGUCGAGCGGUAGAGAGGUGCUUGCACCUCUUGAGAGCGGCGGACGGGUGAGUAAAGCCUAGGAAUCUGCCUGGUAGUGGGGGAUAACGCUCGGAAACGGACGCUAAUACCGCAUACGUCCUACGGGAGAAAGCAGGGGACCUUCGGGCCUUGCGCUAUCAGAUGAGCCUAGGUCGGAUUAGCUAGUUGGUGAGGUAAUGGCUCACCAAGGCGACGAUCCGUAACUGGUCUGAGAGGAUGAUCAGUCACACUGGAACUGAGACACGGUCCAGACUCCUACGGGAGGCAGCAGUGGGGAAUAUUGGACAAUGGGCGAAAGCCUGAUCCAGCCAUGCCGCGUGUGUGAAGAAGGUCUUCGGAUUGUAAAGCACUUUAAGUUGGGAGGAAGGGCAUUAACCUAAUACGUUAGUGUUUUGACGUUACCGACAGAAUAAGCACCGGCUAACUCUGUGCCAGCAGCCGCGGUAAUACAGAGGGUGCAAGCGUUAAUCGGAAUUACUGGGCGUAAAACGCGCGUAGGUGGUUCGUUAAGUUGGAUGUGAAAUCCCCGGGCUCAACCUGGGAACUGCAUUCAAAACUGUCGAGCUAGAGUAUGGUAGAGGGUGGUGGAAUUUCCUGUGUAGCGGUGAAAUGCGUAGAUAUAGGAAGGAACACCAGUGGCG
rnacentral:rRNA from 1 species